UGUGGUGCCAGCCCCCACCUCCUCCAGUGGUCACCGUGAGGAAGUCCUGACUGAUCUCAUGGAAGAGACAAGCAKAUGGGAGGAAAGGAUGGGACCCUGCCUGGCUCUAGGAGAGCUCCCGAUAGACUCCCUCUCUUUGAGAGGUGCUAAAGAUUCUUUCCCCUCCUACUUGAAGUUUGUAUUAAAGCAAUGGAAGAGGUACAGAAGCCUGUGAUAUCAACAUAUUUAACAGAAAUCUGAAAAAGAGGUUGAACAGUGAAGUGACAACACUUGACAGUAGUUAUUUAGGGUGAGAAGACAGGAAUUGUGAAGAGAUGAAUAGCAGAUUACACGUCRGGCUGACUGGACAACAAAGCAUCAUUAAAAUCAGUGUUGAUAGCUGUGGAGUGAGGUACAUGAAAUGACACAAAUCUGAUGUCAUGUAAACAUGUUGGGCUCAGUUAAAUAUUACUGCACAGGAGAAAAAGAUUUUGAGGUAAUCGCAUAGAAAUAUAUGGAAAUGUCUUCUCAGUGCUCMAGAGAAAUCGGAGAAGAAAGCAGAAUUACU